AGAAUAAUGACGGUACCUAAGGAGCAAGCCACGGCUAACUACGUGCCAGCAGCCGCGGUAAUACGUAGGUGGCAAGCGUUGUCCGGAAUUACUGGGUGUAAAGGGAGCCUAGGCGGGAUGCCAAGUCAACUGUGAAAACUAUGGGUCUAACUCGUAGACUGCAGUUGAAACUGGUAUUCUUGAGUGUAGUAGAGGUAGGCGGAAUUCCGAGUGUAGCGGUGAAAUGCGUAGAUAUUCGGAGGAACACCGGUGGCGAAGGCGGCCAACUGGGCUAUAACUGACGCUGAGGCUCGAAAGUGUGGGGAGCAAACAGGAUUAGAUACCCUGGUAGUCCACACUGUAAACGAUGAUAAAUAGGUGGGGGGGCUGGGUCCCCUUCCGCCCCCCCGCUAACGCAAUAAAUUAUCCACCUGGGGAGUACGGCAGCAAGGUAGAAUACUCAAAGGAAUCGACGGGGACCCCCACAAGCAGUGGAUUAUGUGGUUUAAUUUGAAGCAACGCGAAGAACCUCACCUGCACUCGUCAUCCGGCUAAGGAAGUAGAGAUUCAUUAUGUUCCCUUCGCGGAAAGUCGAGACAGCAGGGGCAUGGUCGUCGUCAGUUCGUGUCGUGAGAGGUUGGGUUAAGUCCCGCAGCGAGCGCAACCCCCACCAUCCGUUGGUUCGCCCGAGCACUCUAAUGAGACUGCCACCGACAAGGUGGAGGAAGGUGGGGAGGACGUCAAAUCAUCAUGCCCCUUAUGUGUUGGGCUACACACGUAAUACAAUGGCCAUCACCAAAGAGAAGCAAUCCCGCGAGGGGGAGCAAUACCAUAAAAAAGGUCUCAGUUCGGACUGCAGUCUGCAACCCGCCUGCACGAAGUUGGAAUUGCUAGUAAUCGCGGAUCAGCAUGCCACGGUGAAUACGUUCCCGGGUCUUGUACU
rnacentral:rRNA from 1 species